UCUACAAAUAAUUGUUAAAGCCUAUGUAAACCCUUAUUUUGAAUACUCACGGCUUCAAAUCUCGCCUCUCUCACAACCCUCUUUCUUCAUCUCCCGAUGUUGCUCCAGAGUGGUGUCUCUCUCUCUCUCUCUAGAUCGAUCUCUCGCUGUUAACCCUCUAAGAGAUUCAUCCUUCAUCUUUGAGAUUCAGAGAUUUAGAUCGGUCUCAGUGAUUUCAUCUCAAAGCGAUUUCAAUUUCGAAGCCCCACAGCGGUGUUUCUCUUUCUCUCUCCCUAGAUCUCUCUCUAUCAACCCUCAGAGUUUCAUCUCUGAGAUUCAGAGAUUCAGUCGGUCUCAGUGAUUUCGUCUCAGAGCGAUUUCGAUUUCGAAGCGCCAGAGCAGUCUCUCUCUCUCUAGAUCUCUCUCUCUGUCAACCCUCUCAGAGAUUCGUCUUUGAGAUUCAAAGAUUCAGAGAUCAGUCUCAGUGAUUUCAUCUCAAAGCGAUUUCGAUUUUGAAGUUCUCUCUCUUGAUUUCGAAGCUCCAGCGAGGUAUCGAUUUCUCUCUCUCUCAAGCUCUUCCUUCCCGUCUCUCUCGAUUUGGUAUUUAUUUUCUUGGAAAACCUAUUCAAUUUCUUCUUUUGUUUGCUUUGUCAUUCUUCCUUAAUAUGUUGUGUUUUUGUUUUGAGAAAAUGCCAAAUGUGCUUGUGAUUAUGACAUUUGUUGGAUUUGAGAUCAUUUGUUGGAUUUGUUGGAUUUGAGAUCAUUUUUGGACUUAGUUGAUUAUUUAGUUUUCUCAGAUGGUGAUCACAAUGGCGGACGUUCUACUCAUUCUGCUCAUCUUGUUGAGGAAAAGUUGUCUGGCUCUUUCUCUAUGAAAUAAACAAGCUAGUGGAUAUUGCUCGAUCUGUAGCCAAUGUAAACACUAACGACUACAGUGCCUUGGAGUAUUUGCUUGACCGUCUAGAAAACCUAAAAAAAAAAAAAGUAAUUUAGUUGCCAAUAACUUCACAAUAGAAAGUUCGAACAACAGUGUUCUGCCUUCAGGAUUGAGCUGUCUUCAAAGGAACUUUUCCUGCCAUUGUAGUGUUCCUGUCUGUAAGUGCCUUCAUGACCCUUCUUUUGCGUGUGUGUGUGUGUGCGCGCGUGCGUGAGAGAGAGUGAGAGAGAGAGAGAGAGAGAGAGAGAGAAUCAGUAGGAAUAUGGGAGUCGAACUCAAGCCUCACCAAUGGAUAUAGUAAUACUAUUAAUUAGAUGUUGUUCUGUUGAAUGACUAUCAGCAUUUUUAGUGAGGUAAUGUAUAAUUGAACCCAUUAAAAUGCGUUGAACCCAUAUAAUGCAUAUGAAUAAGGAGUUAUGCAUGGAUGAUUUUGAUUUUUGUUAAUUGAAAGCACAUUUCCAAGCCCAAAUCUGACGAAUUCCUCUUUCCCAUGGCUUACAGAUUCCAACUUUGCAGUCAAGUGUGGUGUUCUAGUAAUUAGAUUAUAUAUGAGAGGGAUAAUGAGACUCUGGGUCCAGCUACAUAUUAUGUGACUAACUAGAUGAAAUCAUUUAAUUAAAGUGCUUCAUGGAAUUAACAUACAUAUGCAUGAUAUUUUUGUUCAAGGUGCUUCAUGGAAUUAACAUACAUAUGCAUGAUAUUUUUAGGUGAAGUAAACACAUUUAAUUAACAUGAAUCUGUCAUAAAAUUAGAAAUCUAUCUCAUUGUGCAUGUGCUAACUAGAUGAAAUCAUUAUGCAUAUAUUAGUCAUACUGAU